rnacentral:rRNA from 1 species
GAUGAACGCUGGCGGCGUGCUUAACACAUGCAAGUCGAACGGAAAGACCCUGAUUUUGUGCGGUGCUCGAGUGGCGAACGGGUGAGUGUCACGUGUGUAACCUGCCCUUGACUUUCGGGUAACUUCAGGAAACUGGGGCUAAUAUCGGAUAGGAGAUCCUGCUGCAUGGUGGGGGUUGGAAAGUUUCGGCGGUUGGGGAUGGACUCGCGGCUUAUCAGCUUGUUGGUGGGGUAGUUGCUUACCAAGGCUUUGACGGGUACGCCGCCUGAGAGGGUGACCGGCGACCAGAGGACUGAGGGACGGCGCAGACGGCAACGUUGGGCAACGGUCGGAAGUAUGACACAACGAGCGCAAGCCUGAGACAACAACGUCGGGUUCGGGAAGACCGCCUUCGGGGUAAAAACAGCUUUCGCCUGAGACGAAGCGGUAGUGACGGUAACGAAUAAAGAAGCACCGGCUAACUACGUG